AACGAACGCUGGCGGCAUGCCUAACACAUGCAAGUCGAACGAGACCUUCGGGUCUAGUGGCGCACGGGUGCGUAACGCGUGGGAACCUGCCCUUAGGUUCGGAAUAACUCCCCGAAAGGGGUGCUAAUACCGGAUAAUGUCUUCGGACCAAAGAUUUAUCGCCUUUGGAUGGGCCCGCGUUGGAUUAGCUAGUUGGUAGGGUAAAAGCCUACCAAGGCGACGAUCCAUAGCUGGUCUGAGAGGAUGAUCAGCCACACUGGGACUGAGACACCGCCCAGACUCCCACGGGAGGCAGCAGUGGGGAAUAUUGGACAAUGGGCGAAAGCCUGAUCCAGCAAUGCCGCGUGAGUGAUGAAGGCCUUAGGGUUGUAAAGCUCUUUUACCCGGGAUGAUAAUGACAGUACCGGGAGAAUAAGCUCCGGCUAACUCCGUG
rnacentral:rRNA from 1 species